UACAGAGGUGGCAAGCGUUGUUCGGAAUUACUGGGCGUAAAGGGCGCGUAGGCGGUCCCGUCAGUCCCUUGUGAAAUCCCCCGGCUCAACUGGGGAACUGCAAGGGAUACAGCGGGGCUUGAGUUCGGGAGAGGGAAGCGGAAUUCCGGGUGUAGCGGUGAAAUGCGUAGAUAUCCGGAGGAACACCGGUGGCGAAGGCGGCUUCCUGGACCGACACUGACGCUGAGGCGCGAAAGCUAGGGGAGCAAACGGG
rnacentral:rRNA from 1 species